rnacentral:sRNA from 1 species
UUAAAUGAUAAAUAAAGUAAAUAUAUCUAUUUAAUAAUUAUUAAAACAUUAAAAAAUAUAUUUCAAAUACAACAUCAAAAAUAGAUUCAAAUCUAUUAUUUUGAUUUUUCCAUAACUUAUAAAGAAGAAGAUUUAACAACUAUUAAGAUUGGGAUAGAUUCAAAUCUAUUAUUUUGAUUUUUCCAUAACAUAUAAAGAAGAAGAUUUAACAACUAUUAAGAUUGGAAAAGUGGAAGAAGUGAAGAACUAUGGUUUCGUAGAGUUGGAGGCGGAGAGAAGUCGAGAAAGUGAAACCCAAUAUUAGGGUUAAUGAAGCAUUAAUGACAACAAUCAAGGCCUAUUAGGUUUACUAAAGGAUCUGCGCGUCUGUGAAACAGGUGGUUCAGGAUGCGGCUCGGAUCGGCUUUAAAACGCAGGAAGAAUUACGAUUUUACCCUUAAUUGUCUGUUUUUUUCUUUUUCCUGUAACGUAAAAUGAAAAAACGGCUUAUGUGGCUUGUCAUUUUGCCAUAACAUCACCAUCAACUGUAUCUAAAGCUUCCAUAUCCCUACAUUGGUUUCAGAAUUUGUGUCAAUAACCUCUGUCACUUCCAUUUCUUCUACAAAAUCAUCAUCUGAAAAAUUUGAAAUCCUUAUAAAAUUAUGUAGUCCCAUUGUAGCCAUUACAACUAUCUUCUGCACAUGAGUAUUAUAUCUAGGAAAUUCACAAAGAAUCCUAUAUUUUUUCUUCCAAACUCCAAAUGUUCUCUUAAUUAUACACUCGAAAGUUUUGUCCAUAUAGCUACAGUUUUAACGACCACAUACAUUUGUAACAACUUUUUGCUACUUAUAAAUUACAAAUUAGUAACAGAAAACGAUUUAAUAAAACAUGUAGCUAAUUUGUUACAACCCGUAGCAAUUUAGCUACAUUUUGCGAGACAGAAUUUUUUGUAACAAAUAUGUUACCAAAUGUGUUUAAAAUUUAGUUGCAAAGUUCCACAAACCAAAAUUCGUCGCCGAUUUUGUAACAACAGUUGAAUAGAAUAUCAUUUAACGUUUUACGAUUAUUAUCAACUAGAAGAUUUGUAAGUAUUAGCGACGAUUUAUGCAUUUUAUUUUAGUAACAAAGUUGAUAUGAAUUUAGUAUCAA